GAUGAAGAACGGAGCGAAAUGCGAUACGUAAUGUGAAUUGCAGAAUUCAGUGAAUCAUCGAGUCUUUGAACGCACAUUGCGCCCCCUGGUAUUCCGGGGGGCAUGCCUGUCCGAGCGUCAUUGCUGCCCUCAAGCACGGCUUGUGUGUUGGGCCUCCGUCCUCCUCCCGGGGGACGGGCCCGAAAGGCAGCGGCGGCACCGCGUCCGGUCCUCGAGCGUAUGGGGCUUCGUCACCCGCUCUUGUAGGCCCGGCCGGCGCUUGCCGACACAUCAAUCUUUUUUCCAGGUUGACCUCGGAUCAGGAAGGGAUACCCGCUGAACUUAAGCAUAUCAAUAAGCGGAGGA
rnacentral:misc_RNA from 1 species